rnacentral:tRNA from 1 species
UCAGGGUAUAAUUCAGUGGUAGUGUGCUUGCCUAGUUUGCAUGAAGCCCUGGGUUCAAUCCCCAGCUGAA